rnacentral:lncRNA from 1 species
CUUAUUGCUUUUAGAACCCGCAAAGGGUUAGAUGGUUUUGUUGACUGAUGUCACUUAAAAAAAUACAAAUUUAAAACUUUUCGAGGGCUUUUCCUUGAAUAUCCCUUCAGCUUUAGGGGAUCUAAAAUCCUGAAUCUGGCAAACUCUAACAGAGUUUUGUGAUUAUUUUCUGUGUUAUCUCAAUUUCUGAUUUAAUUAUUCAAUUUUUUUUUAAUUUUAAAGGCAAUCAAGUGCUUAAAAUACCUAAAUCUACUGAAGGCGAAAGCAUGGUGGCUAUGGAUCUUUACAUUCAUUAACGGAGGUCUUUGGAUCGCAACACGGAAUGUUAUUCUCCCGUUUUACCUCAUACCAGGUAUUUACCGACAUGCACCAUUCGGCUUACUUCAGUCGUUCCCGUAUUCGUGUUUCAGAGGCGGAGCUUGUAACAUCAGUUCGUUUGCAUUCAACUCAAACCAUAUCCUUGUGAUAAUGUUAUCAUGUUUGGGGCUUCUUCAUGUAUACUGGACCUGUCUUAUCUUCAAAAUUUCCUACUUGGCACUUAUUGUCGGGAAGUAAGUAUUUAGAUUUGAAAAAUAGGGAUUAUGCCAAGAAUAAGAAGUAUUGAGUUGACAAAUCCUGUAAAUCAUGGAAAAUUCCGUUUUGGGGGGAAGUGUUCUAGUUAAAGGGGGGGGGGGUCCAUACCCCCUGAGCCCCUCGCGCCUCAGCAGGCAGAUCAUCACAAAUCACGCAGCCAGUUAUAAAAAUUAUUAAUAUUUUAACCAGAGAGCUGAUUAACAUAAUGUUAUAGGAGCUGACAUUAUACGGCCUUGAACUUCGAUCCGUGCAUGCGGGAGAAUCUUUAACGUUAGCGGUCCGACACACGGUGGAUUUAUCCUCUGGCAAUGGCGUGGCGUGUUUUGCGAUAGGUCGAUUGAUCUGCCAUUUAAACCUAUGGAGAGAGAUCGAUAGACAGGAUGAUCUCAACGAACACCUCAUUAUUCGAUUCUUUACGACGGCUUCAAAUGGGGAGAUAUCGAUAAUCGAUCAUUCUCGCCUCUCCAAUGUUUAGUUCGGGAGAGGUCGGAAAUUAAAUCGAAGACUAAAACUGCAAUGAUUGACUGAUAAUGAUUACAGCACCCAAUACAUUUUAUAAAAUAGAAGUAGAAUGUUACGAGGAAACCGAAUCAACCACUUUUCAGACUCUACGUCUCAUAUUUACGAAGCUAUGAUUUGGUCUGCCAUGCUAGGGAAAAAAGCCGUAUGAACCUGCAGACGUUGCCAAAUAUUUCCUUUCACAAAACACAAAUUUCCUGGCAAACUUAUGAAUACAUUCCAGUUAUUUAGAUAACUUUGUUUGCAAUAUCACCUGAAAUUCCUGAAAUUUCGAGGAAAUAUAUUCAUAACAAUAAAAACACAAUUUAAAACGCGGGUAACUAGGCUAAAAUUCAUAUACACAAAACCAAAACGUUUCGGCUGAAAAUUCAGCCAUCCUCAGUUGAAUAAAUCAAAAUAAAAUGGUUAAAAAUCUAAAAUAGUACCUGACUGUAAGUACCUUUCAUUUGGGAAUGUUGUUAUUAUGCUUUUGGUUUUGUGUAUAUGAAUUUGAGCCUUGUUACCCGCCUUUUAAAUUGUGUUUUUAUUGUAUAACUUGUCACGGGCUGCAGAGCAUCUAUCAUAUCUCAUAUAUUCAUAAAUUUCCUCAAAAAUAAACAAUUUAUUGAUGAAAAUUUGGCAACUCUCGAAUGUUCUUACGGCGUUCUUCCUUUGCACGGCAGUAAUAACGUUUGCACAUUUGGACUGCAAUUUGGAACUAUAAAUUCUGGCUCAUAUGAAAAAACACUUAUGUGCAUAGGGAAACUAAUGGCACAUACGUUGUUUUCGAACCGGGCCAGAAUUUAUAGUUCCGAAUUGCAAAAUGCAGUCCAUUUUGUCCGGCUUCUCAUAUUGACUCAUCCGCAUCCCACUGUCCGACGUCUUAGAGUUGUGGGUCAGAUGUAAACACGACCGGCCUCCGGCCUUGCUGUCAUUAAUCCGACGAAAAUAAUAAAGCGCGUGGCAACUAUAUCUAUUUAAUUUUCAAUCUUUACGGUUUUGUUUAUUUCGUUCGGGAGCGCAGCGCCGCGAAAACGGAAAUAUCAUCGUCAAGUCAAAUUUUUCCAUCUUCCUGAUCAUCUUUUUUGGAAGAUUCUCUGAACAUUAACUCAACUCGACCAUUACGUUCGUGACGUAAACGGUAUCAUUUAACUACCACCUGCUGUCUUGGAGUUUUUUCCGAUUCCUAUCAUACUCAUUUAACUUGUGAAUCUGAGUACUUCCGUCGGGUCGGGUUAAUUGCUCGUCAACGGGCGAUCCGAACAGGCGCACAUUGGAUCGAAGCAAUCAGAGAGGUUGGACAUAAAAUGUGUGACUAAAACGGCAAGUGUUGAUGUAUAUUUCGUCACAUUUUAAAUUUCUAGGGGUGCCUUCAUCAGAACAAUUCACGAGAAAACCAGUGGAACCACUGUUAGAACCUCAACAUUUUGUAUGAACGGAUUUAUUUGCUCUCAAAGUUUCCAAAUUUCGUCCGACGUCUCCUAUUGACCUGUUAGGCGCAGUGGAAAAAAUUGUUGCUGAAAUUGGAUGGAUUCUAUUAUAUUAAACCUAACUGUAUUUUACAUGGCCUAACUUCCACUUUAUGUCUCAUUUUAUUGACAUAGAGUUAAAUUACAUGACGACCCACUGGACUUCGCGGUUGAACGAUGUACGUUGCUUAGUUCUCUGAUUAAAACAAAACAAACAGCACAACAAAACAAAAGAGGAUCAGACAUUUGGCAUUUACUGCUCUACUACAUUACGCGAAAAAGAAUGUUAAGGGUUAUAUCCCCUUAAAUUGUGGUACUACCCUAAUUUGUUGGAUGAUACGGGUAUUUCCAAUUACUUGUGGUAGCACCGCAACAAUUGGGUUAGUAGCCUAAUUUAUUGGAGUACUACUAGUUAAGUAGAGAAACAACCACAAUUAAUUGUGGCACUGGCAAAAUUAAUUGGGCACGUCCAUAUCAUCCAACAGCCUCUACUACCUCUUUUUCCCUCAAAAUACGGGAAUUUUUUCACGUGAUUCUCCAGAGUAAAUUUCGAUUGGGCAAAUAGAAUCUUCAAGAAUGUUUUGAUCAGUCACAUUCAUCGGCAGAACGGCAAGUUGGCAUUUUCUCAUCUAAAUUACUAAUACUUAUGUCUGCGAAUUUCUUUUUUCAGCUGGAAGAUGACACACGAGAGGUACCGGAUGAUGAAAGUGACGGCCCAAAAAUGAAACUGAAAUCAACAAAAAAGGAAUGAUGCGGUUUUUGGCAGAGCUGAAACUAAGCUGUUGGUUGCGUGUGUCGCGAAAAAAAGUGAAGCCAAUAGUAAUUUUAUAGAUUGGAGACGAAUUUGCGUGAGCUAUAAUUUCGGUACCGUGCGGCUGAUGAAUCCAAUUAUCUUGCAUUCGACUUUUGAAACAUCUCAUAAUUGACACUGAUUCAUCGUCCACAAAAACUUGAUGCUCGUUUUAUGUUUGAAUUUUACAUUCCGGAGCCUAAGAUAGGCCAGAGCGUUGUUGGUGACCGGAAAAGGUUACAAGAAAUGAAGUCAUAAUUUCAGUCAGUAAAUAACUUCAUGAAAAUUCCGACUCAUUUAGUAUACGCUCUAUUCGGAUCAGGAUUAGUUUUGAUCCUUUCAAAAUUCUCAAAUAUUAUAUCAGGCGCCAUAUUGGAUGACCCAUUUUUUAUUUAGCGCAAUUUUCUUCUAGAAAAAGGGCAAUAUCUAGAUAGGAAUUAUUUCGGCUUAAUUUGCAUGACAAAUAUGAAGCCUGGAAAAAACGCGAUGUAGAUAUUUGGUAGCAUAAUAUUUUUUUAAAAAAAAAAUUGGUCUUUAAAAAUAACCAUCGGAAUGUAUUUCGUGACAUUUUGAAGCGACUCGUUCUUAAGUUUCCGCUUCAAGCGCCGCAAAAGUGUAUUUGUAUCAUAUUUGAACCCUAUACCCACCCGUUGCGUGUGAAUUCUCGAGGUGUUCAUCCAGUCAAAUCAUUUACAGUGCCUACUUUGUAGUGGAAUGCAACCAGAUAUACUGCUGAAUGAAUCGGUAUCGUGUCAGCAUUGCCAUGUAGACUUUACUAAUGAAAUGGUUUGCACUAAAUUUUUACUCCUAAGAUUUCCUUGCGGAAUGUGUACAAUAUCUGCCAGAAGUUACGUGGCUUAAUGAUUGGGCUAUUGUUCUAGACAUUUGGCACAAGUUGCUUUCUUGAAAAGGUCCAGUGGCGAUUUUGCGAAUUGAUUGCACCGUUGUUCUUCCACUUAAAUCCAUUAAAAAUAUCGAUUUUAGACGAGGCAAGCUGUCUCCCCAAGAAUCGAUUCUUUCACAUACAUUUUCAUGGAGGAAAAAAAGUGCGUGGCUGGCUUUCAAGAACCGCCAGCAGAAAGGUCCAGUUUACUUCGUGCCCUUUGUGCCAUUCUUUCGGUACAAGCGAUGAUUUUGUGAUAUUAAGUCAUAAGUUAAGUUAAUUUUAAGUUAGUGUAAGGUUAAUUCUGUAUCGAUUAUAAAUUUAAGAAUCAUGCAGUAUUUCAUUACCUUGUUUACUAAUGUAUAUAGCAAAGUUUUUUAAAUCCAUGAUUUUAAAUAAAAAAAGAAAAAUUCUCAACUUCAAGUAGAUUUUCAGCGAAUUCAGCACGUGCUAUUCUUCAAUCAUUUGAAUUUUUUUACAUAACUUGUCCAAACCAGAAUUUUGGUCUAUUUGCAUAGACCAUAAACCUUCCCUCUAUGGACAAAGAUUAAAAAUAAAAUACUCUCCUUCAGCGUAUAUCUUAUCGAUAUCAAGUGCUGAAAACGAGAUUCAGGAAGUCUAUUGACUAUUUGUUAAGAUUGCAGGUAUUAUGCUCACCGAUACAACUGACGGAUUUUGACAUAAAAAAAUAAAUAAAUUGUUGCUCUAAUAUAUCGACAAAAAAAUUAAAAUUAUGACAAACAUGCGGCAACAACAACUGCUCCGUUUGAGCAUAAAAUUGCAUAGCCUAGGAAAUAGUUGAAGCUUUGAAAUCACCAAAUUAAUCCCUUUUCCCUGGGAUAUAAUUGAGAGUAAAUGGAGGCGUUUAUAGUGGCCGCGCAUGUAGUGAUAAGAAAUUGCAGUGUACACUUACGUAGAUUAAAACAAGGCUCCGAGAAGAGGUGUAAGUGCAUAAAUGCAGGCUAUCGUAUGGACCCGCAAUUCAUUAUUUAUAAUCCGUUUAUC